GGAUAACCUACCCUUAGGACCGGGAUAACCCUGGGAAACUGGGGCUAAUACUGGAUAGAUGAUUUUUCCUGCAAUGGUAUUUUGUCUAAAUGUUUUUUCGCCUAAGGAUGGGUCUGCGGCCGAUUAGGUAGUUGGUUAGGUAAUGGCUUACCAAGCCGUUUAUCGGUACGGGUUGUGAGAGCAAGAGCCCGGAGAUGGAACCUGAGACAAGGUUCCAGGCCCUACGGGGCGCAGCAGGCGCGAAACCUCCGCAACGUGAGAAAUCGCGACGGGGGGAUCCCAAGUGCCAUUCUUAACGGGAUGGCUUUUCUUGAGUGUAAAAAGCUCUUGGAAUAAGAGCUGGGCAAGACCGGUGCCAGCCGCCGCGGUAACACCGGCAGCUCUAGUGGUAGCCAUUUUUUAUUGGGCCUAAAGCGUUCGUAGCCGGUUUAAUAAGUCUCUGGUGAAAUCCCACAGCUUAACUGUGGGAAUUGCUGGAGAUACUAUUAGACUUGAGGUCGGGAGAGGUUAGAGGUACUCUCAGGGUAGGGGUGAAAUCCUGUAAUCCUGGGAGGACCACCUGUGGCGAAGGCGUCUAACUGGAACGAACCUGACGGUGAGGGACGAAAGCUAGGGGCGCGAACCGGAUUAGAUACCCGGGUAGUCCUAGCCGUAAACGAUGCGGACUUGGUGUUAGGAUGGCUUUGAGCCGCCCUAGUGCCGAAGGGAAGCUGUUAAGUCCGCCGCCUGGGAAGUACGGUCGCAAGACUGAAACU
rnacentral:rRNA from 1 species